rnacentral:rRNA from 1 species
AACAGGAUUAGAUACCCUGGUAGUCCACGCCGUAAACGAUGCUAACUCGUUUUUGGGCUUUCGGGUUCAGAGACUAAGCGAAAGUGAUAAGUUAGCCACCUGGGGAGUACGUUCGCAAGAAUGAAACUCAAAGGAAAUGACGGGGGCCCGCACAAGCGGUGGAUUAUGUGGUUUAAUUCGAUGAUACGCGAGGAACCUUUCCAAGGCUUAAAUGGGAAUUGACAGACGCAGAAAUGUGUUUUUCUUCGGACAAUUUUCAAGGUGCUGCAUGGUUGUCGUCAGCUCGUGCCGUGAGGUGUUAGGUUAAGUCCUGCAACGAGCGCAACCCCUGUUACUAGUUGCUACCAUUAAGUUGAGGACUCUAGUAAGACUGCCUACGCAAGUAGAGAGGAAGGUGGGGAUGACGUCAAAUCAUCACGGCCCUUACGCCUUGGGCCACACACGUAAUACAAUGGCCGGUACAGAGGGCAGCUACCUAGCGAUAGGAUGCGAAUCUCGAAAGCCGGUCUCAGUUCGGAUUGGAGUCUGCAACUCGACUCUAUGAAGCUGGAAUCGCUAGUAAUCGCGCAUCAGCCAUGGCGCGGUGAAUACGUUCCCGGGCCUUGUACACACCGCCCGUCAAGCCAUGGAAGUCUGGGGUACCUGAAGUCGGUGACCGUAACAGGAGCUGCCUAGGGUAAAACAGGUAACUAGGGCUAAGUCGUAACAAGGUAACC